AUCUGGCUAACCAUGCCAUUCAGGACUACAACAAUAGAGAAACUGAUGAUUACAAGUACGAGGUCGAGUCUGUUGAAAAAGUGAACUAUAUUUUGGCUGAAUGUCAUGAAUUCUUGAUGACCGUUAAAGUUAAAAAUCUCACUCUGCGUGUACCCGUAGAAACUUUUCAAAUCCAGGCAUAUAAGGGAACAGAUGCAGACAAUGUUGUCCGUACUUGCCGGAGAAAAUUGUUUGAGUUAAGUUGACUUGAAAAGAAGCUUCACCAGAGGCAAGGAAAGAAGCAGUUGAACUAUUGCUUUCUAAAUCUAGUACUAGUUGAGAACACUAUCAUAUUGUUGUGUUGCCUGGAGUUGGC